UGCUGGAACGCGCCCCAGGCGCACCCAGAAACCCUUUGUGAACUUAUACCUUUUGUUGCCUCGGCGCUGCUGGUCUCUAGUAGGCCCCUCACUUCGGUGAGGAAAAGGCACGCCGGCGGCCAAAUCAACUCUGUUUUUACACUGAAACUCUGAGAAAAAACACAAAUGAAUCAAAACUUUCAACAACGGAUCUCUUGGUUCUGGCAUCGAUGAAGAACGCAGCGAAAUGCGAUAAGUAAUGUGAAUUGCAGAAUUCAGUGAAUCAUCGAAUCUUUGAACGCACAUUGCGCCCUCUGGUAUUCCGGAGGGCAUGCCUGUUCGAGCGUCAUUUCAACCCUCAAGCAUUGCUUGGUGUUGGGGCACUGCUUCUAACGAAGCAGGCCCUGAAAUCUAGUGGCGAGCUCGCCAGGACCCCGAGCGCAGUAGUUAAACCCUCGCUCUGGAAGGCCCUGGCGGUGCCCUGCCGUUAAACCCCCAACUUCUGAAAAUU
rnacentral:rRNA from 1 species